AUUGAACGCUGGCGGCAGGCCUAACACAUGCAAGUCGAGCGAGCGGCGGACGGGUGGGUAAUGUAUGGGUGCUGCCCGCUCAAGGGGGGUGACUACUGGAAGCGGACGCUAAUACCUCACACGAUCGGAUGACCCAUCUGGGAUUAGCUAGUUGGUGGGGGAAUGGCUCACCGAGGCGACGAUCCCUAGCUGGUCUGAGAGGAUGAUCAGCCACACUGGGACUGAGACACGGCCCAGACUCCUACGGAGGCAGCAGUGGGGAAUAUUGCACAAUGGGCGCAAGCCUGAUGCAGCCAUGCCGCGUGUAUGAAGAAGGCCCUAGGGUUGUAAAGUACUUUCAGUCGGGAGGCGUUACUGACAGAAGAAGCACCGGCUAACUCCGUGCCAGCAGCCGCGGUAAUUC
rnacentral:rRNA from 1 species